CGCGUAGGCGGCCUGGUAAGUCUGGAGUGAAAGUCCUGCUUUCAAGGUGGGAAUUGCUUUGGAUACUGCUAGGCUCGAGUGCAGGAGAGGAAAGCGGAAUUACCGGUGUAGCGGUGAAAUGCGUAGAGAUCGGUAGGAACACCAGUGGCGAAGGCGGCUUUCUGGACUGAAACUGACGCUGAGGCGCGAAAGCGUGGGGAGCAAACA
rnacentral:rRNA from 1 species